GGUUCGUUGGUGUAAUGAGCAACAUUCCUGGAGUCAAAAUUCACUUCGGGUACGCCCUUUAGGAAAAUAUCGGUUCGAGUUUGGUACGGACCA